rnacentral:rRNA from 1 species
AUUGAACGCUGGCGGCAUGCUUUACACAUGCAAGUCGAACGGCAGCGCGGGCUUCGGCCUGGCGGCGAGUGGCGAACGGGUGAGUAAUACAUCGGAACGUGCCCAGUAGUGGGGGAUAGCUCGGCGAAAGCCGGAUUAAUACCGCAUACGACCUGAGGGUGAAAGCGGGGGAUCUUCGGACCUCGCGCUAUUGGAGCGGCCGAUGGCAGAUUAGCUAGUUGGUGGGGUAAAGGCCUACCAAGGCGACGAUCUGUAGCUGGUCUGAGAGGACGACCAGCCACACUGGGACUGAGACACGGCCCAGACUCCUACGGGAGGCAGCAGUGGGGAAUUUUGGACAAUGGGCGAAAGCCUGAUCCAGUAAUGCCGCGUGCGUGAUGAAGGCCUUCGGGUUGUAAAGCACUUUUGGCGGGAACGAAAAGGACUGUGCCAAUACCACGGUUCGAUGACGGUACCCGCAGAAUAAGCACCGGCUAACUACGUG